UAGUACGAGAGGAACCGUUGGUUCGGAUAUUUGGUAAUGGGGUUGGCUGAACAGCCAGUGCCCCGAAGCUAUCAUCCGUAGGAUUAUGACUGAACGCCUCUAAGUCAGAAUCCAUGCUGGCAGCGACGAUAUUCACCUUGACCGGUGUUUUUGUACCGAUAGCCUUUUGGUCAACACGCUACUUCACCACACUACCGAAUGUUGGUCGAGUUAAAUCCUCUGUAGACGACUUGAAUGGAACGGGGUACUGUAAGCAUGAGAGU
rnacentral:rRNA from 12 species